ensembl:lncRNA
CUCGUAAAUCAAGAGCUGCGAAUCACAAGUUGCAAAUGGCAACAAACUUUUAUUCCUUGUUUCUGUGUGUUGAGCUAAUGUGCCAUAGUUUAGUCUGCCUCCUCUUUAUAGAAUGACUCGUCUGAGAGGCCUAUAACAGCCAGGAGAGCUUAUGGUGCUCUCAAGCACACCCAAAUAUUGCAGCUGUGUUUUGGCCUUGUCUGUCAGCGAAACAGCAGAGAAUGAAACUCAAGAGACCACUUUGUGACGGCUGUUCCAGUGGAAACGAGUUCAUUCAGAUUUAGUACAAUGAUUCAUGGUGUGUUUCUACACGCCUGCGGCCCAAACGUUUCCCUCGCCACAAUCAGCAUCACUUACACUACAUUGUUUACCAUAAAUAAAAGGCUUAAUAACACUUAUACGUUUCCACAUAUAGACUGGACGUCAUAUUGCCUGAACGGUCUGAAAUGCUAAUGCUGAGACGGAUUGAAGAGACUGCACUGGACUGUUUAUUUUUUCACCCCCUGACUUCCAUCUGUAAGCACUUCAAAUGUGCAAAUGUAGUUAACUUAAAACAGAAGCAAUAUGUGCAUAUGAUGCAAUCAUAAUUAAAGCCUCUGUUGUCUGAUUCUCUUUGGGUUAUCCUUUCCUAACAGCGCCAUCUUGUGUUCAAUGGAGUCAGUAGGGUUUAGGUCUGGAGACGUGCUUGGCCAGUUCAUCACCUUCACCCUCAGCUUCUUUAGCAAGGCAGUGGUUGUCUUGGAGGUGUGUUUGGGGUCGUUAUCAUGCUGGAAUACUGCCCUGCGGACCAGUCUCCGAAGGGAGGGGAUCAUGCUCUGCUUCAGUAUGUCACAGUACAUGUUGGCAUUCAUGGUUCCCUCAAUGAGCUGUAGCUCCCCAGUGCCGGCAGCACUCAUGCAGCCCCAGACCAUGACAUUUCCACCACCAUGCUUGACUGUAGGCAAGACACACUUGUCUUUGUACUCCUCACCUGGUUGCCACCACACACGCUUGACACCAUCUGAACUAAAUAAGUUUAUCUUGGUCUCAUCAGACCACAGGACAUGGUUCCAGUAAUCCAUGUCCUUAGUCUGCUUGUCUUCAGCAAACUGUUUGCGGGCUUUCUUGUGCAUCAUCUUUAGAAGAGGCUUCCUUCUGGGAUGACGGCCAUGCAGACCAAUUUGAUGCAGUGUGCGGCGUAUGGUCUGAGCACUGACAGGCUGACCCCCCACCCCUUCAACCUCUGCAGCAAUGCUGGCAGCACUCAUACAUCUAUUUCCCAAAGACAGCCACUGGAUAUGACGCUGAGCACGUGCACUCAACUUCUGUGGUCGACCAUGGCGAGGCCUUUUCUGAGUGGAACGUGUCCUGUUAAACCGCUGUAUGGUCUUGGCCACCGUGCUGCAGCUCAGUGUCAGGGUCUUGGCAAUCUUCUUAUAGCCUAGGCCAUCUUUAUGUAGAGCAACAAUUCUUUUUUUCAGAUCCUCAGAGAGUUCUUUGACAUGAGCUGCCAUGUUGAACUUCAGUGACCAGUAUGAGGGAGUGUGAGAGCGAUCACACCAAAUUUAACACACCUGGUCCCCAUUCACACCUGAGACCUUGUAACACUAACAAGUCACAUGACACCGGGGAGGGAAAAUGGCUAAUUGGGCCCAAUUUAGACAUUUUCACUUAGG